rnacentral:tRNA from 2 species
GGGGGAUUAGCUCAGUUGGCUAGAGCGCCACGCUGGCAGCGUGGAGGCCAUCGGUUCUCCCGAAGCGUCGGGACGAUAUUCUCCA